CCUACGGGUGGCUGCAGUGGGGAAUAUUGGACAAUGGGCGAAAGCCUGAUCAAGCCAUGCCGCGUGUGUGAAGAAGGCCUUCGGGUUGUAAAGCACUUUCAGUGGGGAAGAAAGCCUUGGGGCUAAUACCCUCGAGGAAGGACAUCACCCACAGAAGAAGCACCGGCUAACUCCGUGCCAGCAGCCGCGGUAAUACGGAGGGUGCGAGCGUUAAUCGGAAUUACUGGGCGUAAAGCGCGCGUAGGCGGUCUGAUAAGCCGGUUGUGAAAGCCCCGGGCUCAACCUGGGAACGGCAUCCGGAACUGUCAGGCUAGAGUGCAGGAGAGGAAGGUAGAAUUCCCGGUGUAGCGGUGAAAUGCGUAGAGAUCGGGAGGAAUACCAGUGGCGAAGGCGGCCUUCUGGACUGACACUGACGCUGAGGUGCGAAAGCGUGGGUAGCAAACAGGAUUAGAUACCCCAGUAGUC
rnacentral:rRNA from 1 species